CCUCAUUGUAGGCUUACUGUUGUUUAGAAGGAAGCCAACCACAAAGGGAAGGCUGCACAAUAUGACUUUAACAUUGGACAGGAGUUGGGAGGAUUCAGCUUGACACCUGUUUCAGCAUGAGGAAGAGAUAUGGCUGGCAUGGUGCCAAAAGCAGCAGUCACCGUGUGUAUCCUCUUUAUCCGUCAUAUCCCCUGCAUCAUUUCCCUGGUCAUUGCCUGUGUACUGGUGGUGCUCCAAAUCGUGACUGUGGGAGCAGAGCUAGGAGAUAAGUGAUCGUCUCCUGGCAGACAGACAGGCUGCCUUGACAGGCAAUGAAGAAAGGAGCCUCUGCAAAGCACUUCAGUAGAUGCUCUCCCUAUUUCUCUCUGUUCUGUGUCCCUCCAUCCAUCCAUCCACCCAUCCAUCCAUCCAUCCAUCGCUCUUCAAGGUAGGUCAAAAGAAAGAUCCAGCUUGGCAGCUCAUUCCUCACUCUGAUGAAGCCGCUUGUUAGAGACUCAUCAACUCCUCUCUGUGUGUCUCUCUCUCACACACACACACACACACGUUUUGUUUCACUAUCCCCGUGGGGGACAGUCAUUGACAUAAUGUUUUCCCUAGCCCCUUACCCCAACAUUAACCAUCACAACUAAAUGCCUAACCUUAACCCUUACCCUUACCCUAAACCUAACCCAAUUGUAACCUGUAGCCUUAAACCAAGUCUUAACCCUCAAAAAGCAGUCUCUACUCGUGGGGACCUCAAUUUUUGUCCCCACGGUGACACAAGUCCCCAUGAGUUUUGUGCAUUCGGGUUAAAGUCCCCACUGGGAUAUAAGAACAUGAAACACACACACACACACACACACACAAAUUAGACUAAAAUUACUCUUAUGAGUUGUGGUAAUUAUUGCAAUUAAGUCUGUCAUACAAAGGAGGCAUUCAGCACGGCACAAGUAAAUGUUUCUAAAUGGCAAGUAAUGGAAUUGUACUGGUUGUCUUUUGCUUGACACUGUUGCAAAAAAGUGUGUUUUGGAUUAAUUUCAUCAUGGGUUAAUUUGUACAUUAAUUUUCACAUUAUUGCUCUGAUCUGUCAACACCUAUGCACUCUAAACGGAAGAAAAUGCAAUAACAAUAUUUGCCAGCUGUUUCUCACACACAAAUCAAAUUAGAGUGCAGAUCUCAAUGCUCAGCAACAGAUGGUUGAUGAAGAGGAGAGUAAAUCCCCAGUAGUUACUGUACUAUGACACUCCUAUGUUAAUAUCCAUUGACUUUUCUGGAAGAGCUCCAUUAUUUAUCCAUUUUCACAACUGAUGGCAUUUUAUAACAGUAAACUGCUGUAUGAUUUAAACCAGACAGACUCAUUCAGCUGCAUACAAUGGCAGCUUGUUUAAAUGUGUUUAAAAGGUCUCCUAUCUUUCAUUCUCAGAGUUGCUGUGGCUGAGGCAGAUGCCAACUCCAUUCAAAAUAGAAAUGUCUUCAGACCCGCCUGCUCUCUUUGGAAUUUAAUUAAUCACCUUCAAAUUUGGCAUGUGGCCUCCAGAGAAUAGUGCAGCUUUUUGUUGACGUCACGAGCACAGCUUUGCACACCCUCUCUGGCCUACACACCUCUGUUGGCAUCAGCUGGAGCUUCGAUAAGACGGAGGAACAGGGUGAGACACAGACUGUGGCGUAUUCUUGGGUCUAGUUUCUAACCUGAGAACCCUAGAGGCUCUCACUCGGAAUGUACAGUGCCUACUCUCAGUGCAUUGCAGCACAGCACCAUCUUUUACAGAGGAACCUGUAGGAGGAAGGAACAAGAUGACAAAUUUUGAUAUUUAACUAAUCCUGUAAAGGGAAAUUCUAGUUUCAAAUGGCCUGUAUCUUAUUUGUCGUCAUUUUGAUUUCUAUUGGUAAUAAUGUGUCUCUCUCCCUGUCUUACUUUGUUGUAAUGAUGUCACUGUGUUCUCAGAUCUUAUUUUGAUUAAUACAAUGUUGUCAUGGCCAACAGAAAUGAUGGCCAUAGCUAUGAAAAUAAGGGGGGCAAUGCCUGUCCAAAUGAGUUUAUGUGCCCCCCCAAAAUUCUCAAAAUGCAUCAUAUUACAAUAAACAUUAAAUGUGAA